rnacentral:misc_RNA from 1 species
ACAAACUUGGUCAUUUAGAGGAAGUAAAAGUCGUAACAAGGUAACCGUAGGUGAACCUGCGGUUGGAUCAUUACUGAUUUUUGAAGUAGUCAAGGUUUUUGAUGCUCUUUUUUUAGAGCUCACCUUUUCUACUUCUUUCACACUAUGUGCAAACUUAUGUUUUUUUGGGUAUGUAAAGGUCAACUUUUAUACCCAAACAUUUUUAUUAAACCUUUGUUUUUUAUUUUGUCUGAUUAAAUCGUUUAAAAAUCGAUAACAACUUUUGACAACGGAUCUCUUGGCUCUCGCAUCGAUGAAGAACGCAGC